rnacentral:lncRNA from 1 species
UUUUUUUUUAAGUUUUCCCUAACAUAUGGGGAAGGGAGAAACAGCUCCCCCGGGGCCACCUAGAGAGUCCAGUUUUCUUUUUAUUACUCUAUGCAAAGAUUCUCAGACAAUCUUGGUUGUAAAGCGUGUAUCUUUAUAUUCUUUUUCCUUUCAUUUUGUAUAACCACAGGGAGAACAACCUGGGAAGUAAAUGUUCUUUUGCCAUGCUUUAUCCAGAGUGCUUGGUUUGUACGAGUGUCUGCAAGCUGACUCCUGGAAACGGAGAAUCACCUGCUGCCCCAAACAAAAUCCAGCAUCCCCCAGGACUGGGCAACUGCCAGAAUCUCUGUUCUGCAGCACAGCAUUUGGACAAAGACUCAAAAAUGUACCAAUUGCUAAGGUUUCCUCUCUGCAUUGGACCUUCCUGAUACCAGACCUUGCAAAUUCCAGCUGA